CCUACGGGAGGCAGCAGUGGGGAAUAUUGCGCAAUGGGCGAAAGCCUGACGCAGCGACGCCGCGUGAGGGAUGAAGGUCUUCGGAUCGUAAACCUCUGUCAGCAGGGAAGAACGGGCACUGUGCUAUUCAGCAGUGAAUUGACGGUACCUGCAAAGGAAGCACCGGCUAACUCCGUGCCAGCAGCCGCGGUAAUACGGAGGGUGCGAGCAUUAAUCGGAAUUACUGGGCGUAAAGCGCUCGUAGGCGGUAUGUCAAGUCAAGGGUGAAAUCCCCGCGCUCAACGUGGGAACUGCCUUUGAAACUGGCAGACUGGAGUGUGUGAGAGGAUAGUGGAAUUCCAGGUGUAGGAGUGAAAUCCGUAGAUAUCUGGAGGAACAUCAGUGGCGAAGGCGACUAUCUGGCACAUAACUGACGCUGAGGAGCGAAAGCGUGGGUAGCAAACAGGAUUAGAUACCCCUGUAGUC
rnacentral:rRNA from 1 species